UACGAAAGGUGCUAGCGUUGUUCGGAAUUACUGGGCGUAAAGCGCACGUAGGCGGACUGGAAAGUCAGGGGUGAAAUCCCGGGGCUCAACCCCGGAACUGCCUUUGAAACUCCCAGUCUUGAGGUCGAGAGAGGUGAGUGGAAUUCCGAGUGUAGAGGUGAAAUUCGUAGAUAUUCGGAGGAACACCAGUGGCGAAGGCGGCUCACUGGCUCGAUACUGACGCUGAGGUGCGAAAGCGUGGGGAGCAAACAGG
rnacentral:rRNA from 1 species